rnacentral:rRNA from 1 species
CACGUAGGGCGCAAGCGUUGUCCGGAAUUAUUGGGCGUAAAGAGCUCGUAGGUGGUUUGCUGCGUCCGCUGUGAAAACCCAAGGCUUAACCUUGGGCUUGCAGUGGAUACGGGCAGACUAGAGGUAGGUAGGGGAGAAUGGAAUUCCCAGUGUAGCAGUGAAAUGCGUAGAUAUCGGGAGGAACACCGGUGGCGAAGGCGGCUCACUGGCUCAUUACUGACGCUCAGGCGCGACAGCGUGGGGAUCAAACAGG